UGUAAGCGUAUACCAAAGUUGUUGCAGUUAAAACGCUCGUAGUCGGAAUUUGGCAGUUCCGGCUGUGUGCACGUCGUGUGCGCACUUCGCGGGGAUUGCUUUUGUGGUCUUGCGUAGGAUGAGGCACUUUUAUUAGUGAACGUCCUCACGCAACCACUUUUUACUGUGAGAAAAUCAGAGUGCUCAAAGCAGGCAUUUGCCGUGAAUGUAUUAGCAUGGAAUAAUAGAAUAGGACUUGGUUCUAUUUUGUUGGUUUGUUGGGACUGAGUAAUGAUUAAGAGGGACAGUUGGGGGCAUUUGUAUUUCGGUGCUAGAGGUGAAAUUCUUAGAUUACCGAAAGACAAACUGCUGCGAAAGCGUCUGCCAAGGAUGUUUUCAUUGA
rnacentral:rRNA from 1 species